CACACCGAUUCCGACGGCGGAGCGUGCGCGGUCGAGGGGUCCACGUUGGUUCGGUAUCGUCUCGAAAAGAGGACUCCUACCGUGACAUCCGAAACAAGCGAUCAACGAAACGUCGAGCAAGAUCGUUCGAAGCUUCGCGCAUCUUCGAACCGAUACGGAGAGCACCGUUUGGUUGUCAACGGAUAACAUUCGUCGCGAAACGUCGCCACGAAUCCGUGGAGUUUCGAGGAGCCCGCGACGGACGAGCAAAGAGGAUGAUCGACGGACGAUCUUUCACGCUUGGCACUUGAAAUGGAAAAAAAGAUAAACUACUACUCUCCGGCGAGAUCGUGGCAACGGUGCGAGAGAGAAAAGGAAAAGGCGUUCGAUGAACGAAUCGAGUCGAGAAGAUGCGGCUUCGUGGAGACGGAUGAUGCGACAGAAUCGAGAGAAAAAAAAGAAAAGAAAACGUAUCGAAGAAAAAGUGGAAGUUCACCGAUCUGUUGGAAAACGGAAGAGGAUUACCCGUCCGGGUCGAAUCGAACGCCUUUCGGGGGAAGCCCCUUCUUCUCGCGGGACUCGGCAAGAAGACGAUCCGCGACGAGAAUUGAAUUCGAAGACCGCGGCGCACGACUUUCGGUUUUUCCAUUCAAGCCAAGUGAGAAAACAAAAAAAAAAAGAAAAAAAAAGAAAAAAAAACAGAAAGUACAAUUUUGACAAGGAUGUUCGACAAUGUCGUGUGGUGAAAUAAAUAAAGAAGACCAGUCCUUGAAUGGAAAAACGUUUAUUUGCUACUUUCUUCAUCUUCAUCAUCAUCAUCAUCAUCAUCACCAUAAUCAUCAUCAUCAUCAUCACCAUCAUCAUCAUCAUCAUCGUCAUCAUCACCAUCGUCGCUAUCAAUAGAAAACAGGAUGAUUACAAGUAGAUGCGCGAUUACGAAGAGUUCCCUGGGACAAGCGGCAAACAUGAACGAAGAAAUGCGCGACAACGAAGUAACGACAAUGUUUUCCGUCUUUAAUAUUACAUAUACGCAGUGGCGAGGAUAUAAUGAUGGGAAAUCGUUGUACAGAAGACGGUCCCGAUUUUCACCAGAAAACUUCAGGACGUAUACACAAUGCUUGUAACGAUGCCUGCUCAGAAUUUGUGGUGUCACAAUAACGUAAACCAAUACGUGGGAGUAAUAAACGCUAUUUCGUGCGAAAAGGAAAGUAGAUCGAUUUAAUAUUAAUCCUAGAAAGAUCGAGGGAGAGUAACACAACAACCGCUUACAAGUUCUUCGCAAUUUGUGAAACUGAUCAUUGAAAUUGGUGAAAUCGACGCGACGAUCGAUUUUUCUAUUCCCGAGCAAUCGACGUUAAAUAAAUCGCUGCAAGAUCAACGUUA